UGAGCAAUCUGCCCUUCUCAUCGGAAUAAGCGUUGGAAACGACGUCUAAUGCCGAAUACGACCUCCUUUCGCAUGAUCGGAGGUGGAAAGCUCCGGCGGAGAAGGAUGAGCUCGCGGCCUAUCAGCUAGUUGGUGUGGGUAACGGCCCACCAAGGCGACGACGGGUAGCCGGCCUGAGAGGAUGGCCAGCCACAUUGGGACUGAGACACGGCCCAGACCUCCGUAGGGAGG
rnacentral:rRNA from 1 species